GGGGAGGCUGUUGAGCGAGGGUGAUUGAUUCGGUUAGAUUGUGAUGUGUUAUUUAGGCAGAAGACAGGGGAGCUAGGAGAAUGGAGGAAAACAGAAAGCGAAAGCAGAAAAAAUAGUAGAAGAGAAGAGCCCUUUUUCACCACGUAGACGUGGGCUCUGGUUGUUCUAGAUUGGGGUUCACUUGCCCAUGACCGGGAGAGAGGGCAGGGACCUUGGUCAAUCAGCAGCCCCCAAGAGACCUGGAAGACAAGGAGCGCGCGAGUGGUGGUAUCAUUCUGGGAGGCUCCGAUGCAAGAAACUCUGUCUGUGGACACUGCUGUCCUGAAAGGGUUAAUGCACUUAAUUAAGAGGGUGGUGCUGCAGAUUCAAAUGAGGAGAAAUCAACUAUGCUGAACAAGAAGCUGGACUAGAGGGCCAAAGGCCUGGGCCGGGAAAGCAAGCCCCUGGUACAGGCAACACCUGCAGAGCGGAAGGGAGUGGGAGUGAGGAGGGAAUCGAGUGCUUCCGGCAGUGCUGGCUAAAUGGUGGAAGGCGCAAUGGAGCUUCUUCCUCUUACCCUCAGCAAGAACUUCAGGAACUGCUCCAGCUGAGAUCGGGAGUGGAAACAGAAAGACAGAGAGGAAGGGAAGGAGGGAGAUGGAGCAUAACUGUGCUAAUAAAAAGGGAGCCCUGAAAAGAAAAGGACAACUAGAAAAGGGAGGUGGAGGUGGAAGCAAGCUGCCACCGGAGUCAUUAACUGGUUGGAUGUUCUCUCUGCAAUCCUCUGCUUCAGGACUCAAAACUUCCUCCUCAUUCCCAUCCUGUCACUUGCAGCAGAAACUAUUGCCUUGGGACUUGCCAGAGACCUGAAGAUUCCUGAACUCAAGACAUGGCUGGACUUACCAACAUGCUUGGUAAGUCCAGAAUGCAGCUGUGUGACUUUGGGGAUUUGGAGGCUCGGUCACAGAAGUCGCAGCUUCCCCACGUGCCUCUUCGUCUGCUUGCUUUUGAACAUUUCCUCAUGGGCACCAGCCUUGAGGGCCAUGCUGUGAGAAGCUGAAGCCGCUGGAGAGGUCCCUGUAGAAGUGCAGAGACAGAGAGGAGCAGAGGACCCAGGAGGCACCGGAAGCAGGUGUGAGGAACCAUCUUGUAAGUGGAUCCUGCCCCACAUGACACUGUGAGAUUCAGAGAUGAAUGGCCCAGCCAAUUUCUUCCCAAAUUCCUAAACCAUACAAUUGUGAGCUAAAUAAAACUGUUGUUUUAAGUCACUA
rnacentral:lncRNA from 10 species